rnacentral:rRNA from 1 species
GCGAGGGACCCUGCCGAGGGGUGUGGGAUAACCGGUGGAAACGCCGGCUAAUACCGCAUACGUCCUAUGGGAGAAAGAUUUAUCGCCCUUCGAGGGGCCCGCGUCGGAUUAGCUAGUUGGCGGGGUAAUGGCCCACCAAGGCGACGAUCCGUAGCUGGUCUGAGAGGAUGAUCAGCCACACUGGGACUGAGACACGGCCAGACUCCUACGGGAGGCAGCAGUGGGGAGUAUUGGACAAUGGGGGCAACCCUGAUCCAGCAAUGCCGCGUGAGUGAUGAAGGCCUUAGGGUUGUAAAGCUCUUUCGGCGGGGACGAUGAUGACGGUACCCGCAGAAGAAGCCCCGGCUAACUUCGUGCCAGCCGCCGCGG